CGUGACAUUGUAAUGUGCCAUGUGGAAGACAGUUUACCUUAAACUGUACACUGAAAUAACCUGCUGGGAAUACUUUGUCUAGAAAAAGACUUUGAUACUAUAAUACUGUAAAACCAGAUGCGAUCAUGGAAACACGUCGCUCUCCAGUGAAUUUACACUCGGUUUACACUUUGUAGCGAAGCUAUCACGAAUGAGUUUAUUUGCAAAAUCAAUCUCAGUAUAACCAAUAAGUACAGUAACUUUGGAGACCAUGUCUUAUUCACAGCAAAAGUUAUGGAGGGAUACAGAUUUUAUCAGGCUGUGUGGCAUCGGCUGCCUAAAUGUGUGCCCCCCCCCCCCCUAUCUGUAAUCCAUAUUACGGGGGUAACUACUUUGGCACAACACCGGCACUAAAAGUGAAGGGCUGACAGUUGUGUUUAUAUACGAACCGUAAGCGCUAAUGUUGGUUAGCAUCAGCUAAAGCGAGGAAGUUUGACACUUGCAGAGGCAGUGAACGCAGAGAGAGCUUAAAAACGCAUUGUGGGGUUUUUUAGUCUUUGCUUCGUUGCUUCGGGAUUUUUUUUUUUUUGCAUUAAGACGUUGCCCACAAAAUUACAGAUAUAACGGUGACUUAGCUGCUCGUUGGAUAAACCCAUGGACCUUAGAAAAGAUCAACACUACUCGGAUGUAAGCACCCGUGUAUAACACAAUAGGCAAAAUUACGCUUGCUAACCUUUCCACAUCACAGGCUUCACAUUAAAUAAACAUUUUUUCAAAUACUCACCAUGAUCUGAGACCGUUUAAAUAUUUUGUUACUCUGCAAAUAUGGCAGUAUGAAGCUAAACCUUUAGCUUGACGGCUAAAGCAGUGCUAAGAUUUACACGGAAACGAUCAGCGGACAUCGUUAAAGUACUAUUGGUCUACAUUCUUCUUCUAUGGUAGCAGCCUGGGCAGAGUAACAGCCAACUUUAAACUGCGCCAUCUGUUGGCACAAAUUACAUUAGAAAACAUUAUUACGACAACACGUUUUUUGGGGAAAAUAACAGAGAUUGAAAC
ensembl:lncRNA